UACCCUACGGGGCGCAGCAGUGGGGAAUAUUGCACAAUGGGGGAAACCCUGAUGCAGCGACGCCGCGUGAAGGACGAAGUAUUUCGGUACGUAGACUUCUAUCAGCAGGGAAGAAAAUGACGGUACCUGACCAAGAAGCACCGGCUAACUACGUGCCAGCAGCCGCGGUAAUACGUAGGGGGCAAGAGUUAUCCGGAAUUACUGGGUGUAAAGGGAGCGUAGACGGUUGUGCAAGUCUGGAGUGAAAGGCGGGGG
rnacentral:rRNA from 1 species